rnacentral:rRNA from 16 species
UGGCGGCCUUAGCGCGGUGGUCCCACCUGACCCCAUGCCGAACUCAGAAGUGAAACGCCGUAGCGCCGAUGGUAGUGUGGGGUCUCCCCAUGCGAGAGUAGGGAACUGCCAGACA